rnacentral:rRNA from 1 species
UACGUAGGGUGCGAGCGUUGUCCGGAAUUAUUGGGCGUAAAGAGCUUGUAGGCGGUCUGUCGCGUCUGCUGUGAAAAUCCGGGGCUCAACCCCGGACUUGCAGUGGGGUACGGGCAGACUAGAGUGUGGUAGGGGGAGACUGGAAUUCCUGGUGUAGCGGUGAAAUGCGCAGAUAUCAGGAGGAACACCGAGUGGCGAAGGCAGGUCUCUGGGC